UCAGGUUGUGCCAUUCCAGGUUGCCAUGGGAGUAGUUGUAGGUGCUGGUGCUGGAACAGCAGGGCUGACUACUCCUAUCCCUAUACAGUAACUUCUCUUCCCAGCUUGACAAUGGUUUUCAAGGAGUGUCUGAAACCAUGCUCAACAUCCAGAAACAAAGCGAUUCUUUGGCAGCAGUGGUGCUUCAGAAUUGACAGGGGAACUAGAUGUCCUGACAGCUAAAGAAGGUGGUCUUUGCCUGUUUGUCCAAGAAGAAUGCUGUUUCUACAUCAUCAAACUUGGGAUUACCAGCCUCUAUCCACAGAGGAGCAGCCUUAUGCCAACGACUAUCAAGUGGACCCUGAUGUGAAAGUCAGCUACACCGCAAAACUGACAAAGCCCCUCAACAGGAGAAAGUGGGUUAAGAGAUCCUACACCCUAUUCCCCUUUCACCAUUGGCUUCCCCUUCCCCCCCUUUCCCCUCUCUUUAUGGUAAGAAUAAGGGAGGUAUGUUAGCAUCAGAAGUGGUUUACAGCUAACCUCUGAACCCAACGAUGACAUCAUCCUUAGGCAACAAGGGCCGGCUUGUGUCCAUUGCCAUGGCAACCGCCACACACUCACAGCACACGUCUCACCCACAUUACCUGUGUAUGGUGAUGCACAUUAUUUAUUGCUUGGCAUCUACACCACAGCCUGAAUAACAGAGACUCUGUCCCCUCGCCCUCUUUUUCUUCUUUUCAUUAGUUCUUCUUCCAUCUAAUAAAAAACCCUUCUUGUGG